UUGAAAAGAUUUUUUUCUUGAAAAGAGUUUCAUUCCACUGCUGAAUCUUUAUAAUCAGGAUAAUUGCUAAGUUAAAGUCCCAGCUCCAAUCUACUUUCCUUUGCAUACUAAGUUUAGGAACCAAUGAGAGGGAUAAUAGGGCUUUCAUAGGACUCACUGCAGCCAUGAUUAGAAGAAGUCCAUUUGUGUAUUCAAAGAAUACUGUUUGAGCUUCUUUUGUGUGUCAGUACCAUGCUAGGUGCUAAGCAGUUAUGAACAGAACAGAAAUGACACUUCAUGGCAUUUAUAACCUAUUAGAAAAGACCUAUUUGUGAAAAAGGAUGAAAAUACUGGUUAAAGAGGCUUGUGGGUAAUAUAACAUGCUUGCCAGCAGCAAACAUGUAAAUGACUGUAUAUGUCUGCAUAUAGAGAAUACAUAGUUAUAACAAUAGAAUAAAUAGUUCAAUCAAUCACUGGGCAAAAUUUUUAAACAGGCAAUUCUCAAAAGAAGCACAACUUUAAAAAAAAACACAAAUGACCAAUAAAUACACACACACACACACACACACACACACACACACACAGAGCCUUAUCAACAUCCUCAGCUAUAAAGGAAAUGAAAAUCAAAACUGCAUUAAGAAUCCAUUUCACCCCUUCCAAAAUGGGUGUCACCAAGAAAAUAAAUGUUGGUGAGGAUGUAGAGAAAAGAAUUCCUUAUACACUGUGAGAAGAGAUGUAAGUUAGUUCAGCCUCUAUGGAAAUCAAUUUGAAGAUUCCUUAUAUAUAUAUUUAAGGCAACUAAAACUACCAUAUAGUCCUGCUGGACAUACACAGAAGGAAUCGGAAGCAGCAUAGCAGAGGGACACCACACCCAUACUCACUGUUGUGCUGGUCAUGGUAGCCAGGAUGAGAACUGGCCCAGGUGUCCAUAUGCAAAGAAAAUAAGUCAUAUAUGCUCAGGGAGUACACCAUCUACCUUAAAUGGAAUUGUGUCAUUUUCAGGGAAAUGGGUAGGACAAGAAAUCAUGUUAAGCAAAAUAGUCCUAGUAUCACAUAUUCUCUCAUAUAGAAUCUAGAUUUUUGCUUGCUUAUUUGUGUGUUUGUUUUGAAACAAGUUCUUACUAUAUGUCCCUGGCUGGCCUAGAACUCAGUUUGUAGACCAAUUGGCUUUGAACCUCAACCUCCCCAGCUCUGGGAUUGAAGGCAUGCACCCCUGUGCCUGUAGAGUACAGUUUUGUCUGGUUUGGUUUUUAAAAUACAACAUAGAAGGGGCCCAUUUAAGAGAAAGGGAGCCAGUGGGAAGGAAGAGAGAAAAGAGGGUAAAGGGGGGAUAUGAAUGUGAUCUACGGACAUUUUAUGAAAAUGUACAUGUAUGAAAAUGUCAUGGAGCCCAGCAAUUUAAAAGCUCACUGUGCCUCAAUUAGUCUGAGUAUGUGUCUAAAAGGAUCUGUGGUGGUUUGAGUGAGAAUGGCCCCAGUAGGCUCAUAUGUUUGAAUGCUUUGUUGACAGUUGGUUGGAAUCAUUUUGGGAAGGGCCAGGAAGUGUGGCCUUGUUAGAGGAGGUGUGUCACUGAAGAUGGGCUUUGUGGUUCAAAGCUCACUCCAAGCCAUCUCUUUGUGUCUCCAGCUUGCAGAUAAGAUGUAGGUUCUGAGGUACUGCUCCAGUGUCAUGCUUGCCUGUGUGCUGCCAUGGUCGUCAUGGACUCACCCUCUAAAACUAGACUACUGAACUGUCACAGAUCAGCAAGCAGCUCUUUGACCUGUGCCCUUCUCCAGCACGAUCUGUCAGAUGCUUCCCUUUCCAGUUCCAAUGGUUUACAUUCACCUUCUGCCAUCCGAGCAUGACUGAACAGGCCCUGAAGAAGCCUUUGGUGGAAUGGAAUAACUGCCUGCUCGUUUGGAUUGCAUUGCUGUUUAUUCAUAGAUUUGUGUUAGUAAGUGGAUGAAGUAAGAACAUAAAAACAGUUGAAAGACUGAUUAAAUUGGUAAAUGUGUGGGGUA